GACGAACGCUGGCGGCGUGCUUAACACAUGCAAGUCGAACGGAAAGGCCCUGCUUUUGUGGGGUGCUCGAGUGGCGAACGGGUGAGUAACACGUGAGUAACCUGCCCUUGACUUUGGGAUAACUUCAGGAAACUGGGGCUAAUACCGGAUAGGAGCUCCUGCUGCAUGGUGGGGGUUGGAAAGUUUCGGCGGGUGGGGAUGGACUGGCGGCUUAUCAGCUUGUUGGUGGGGUAGUGGCUUACCAAGUCUUUGACCGGUAGCCGGCCUGAGAGGGUGGCCGGCCACAUUGGGCCUGAGAUACGGCCCAGACUCCUACGGGAGGCAGCAGUGGGGAAUAUUGCACAAUGGGAGGAAGCCUGAUGCAGAGACGCCGCGGGCGGGAUGACGGCCUUCGGGUUGUAAACCGCUUUCGCCUGUGACGAAGCGUGAGUGACGGUAAUGGGUAAAGAAGCACCGGCUAACUACGUG
rnacentral:rRNA from 1 species